rnacentral:rRNA from 1 species
CCUACGGGAGGCAGCAGUGAGGAAUAUUGCUCAAUGGGCGCGAGCCUGAACCAGCCACGUCGCGUGAAGGAUUACUGCUCUACGGGUUGUAAACUUCUUUUAUAAAGGAAUAAAGUGAGGCACGUGUGCCAUUUUGCAUGGACACUAUGAACAAGGAUCCGCUAACUCCGUGCCAGCAGCCGUCGUAAUACGGAGGAUCCGAGCGUUAUCCGGAUUUAUUGGGUUUAAAGGGAGCAUAGUGGGGUUGUUAAGUCAGGUGUGAAAGUUUGCGGCUCAACCGUAAAAUUGCAAUUGAUACUGGGAGGCUUGAGUACAGUAGAGGUAGGCGGAAUUCGUGGUGUAGCAGUGAAAUGCGUAGAUAUCACGAAGAACUCCGGUUGCGAAGGCAGCUUACUAGACUGCAACUGACAUUGAUGCUCGAAGGUGUGGGGAUCAAACAGGAUUAGAUACCCCGGUAGUC